rnacentral:rRNA from 1 species
GUGAGUAACACGUGGGUAAUCUGCCCUGUACUCUGGGAUAAGCCUGGGAAACUGGGUCUAAUACCGGAUAGGACAUGCUCUCGCAUGGGGGUGUGUGGAAAGUUCCGGCGGUACAGGUUGAGCCCGCGGCCUAUCAGCUUGUUGGCAGGGUGAUGGCCUACCAAGGCGACGACGGGUAGCCGGCCUGAGAGGGUGACCGGCCACACUGGGACUGAGACACGGCCCAGACUCCUACGGGAGGCAGCAGUGGGGAAUCUUGCGCAAUGGGCGGAAGCCUGACGCAGCAACGCCGCGUGAGGGAUGACGGCCUUCGGGUUGUAAACCUCUUUCGGCCAGGACGAAGCCUUUCGGGGUGACGGUACUGGUAUAAGAAGCACCGGCUAACUACGUGCCGGCAGCCGCGGUAAUACGUAGGGUGCGAGCGUUGUCCGGAUUUAUUGGGCGUAAAGAGCUCGUAGGCGGUUUGUCGCGUCGGCCGUGAAAACCUGCCGCUUAACGGUGGGCGUGCGGUCGAUACGGGCAGACUGGAGUUCGGCAGGGGAGACUGGAAUUCCUGGUGUAGCGGUGAAAUG